rnacentral:rRNA from 1 species
GGGAAUCUACCCAGUUCUACGGAACAACAGUUGGAAACGACUGCUAAUACCGUAUACGCCCUACGGGGGAAAGAUUUAUCGGAAUUGGAUGAGCCCGCGUAAGAUUAGCUAGUUGGUGGGGUAAUGGCCUACCAAGGCGACGAUCUUUAGCUGGUCUGAGAGGAUGAUCAGCCACACUGGGGCUGAGACACGGCCCAGACUCCUACGGGAGGCAGCAGUGGGGAAUAUUGGACAAUGGGCGCAAGCCUGAUCCAGCCAUGCCGCGUGAGUGAUGAAGGCCUUAGGGUUGUAAAGCUCUUUCACCGAUGAAGAUAAUGACGGUAGUCGGAGAAGAAGCCCCGGCUAACUUCGUGCCAGCAGCCGCGGUAAUACGAAGGGGGCUAGCGUUGUUCGGAUUUACUGGGCGUAAAGCGCACGUAGGCGGUUUGUUAAGUCAGGGGUGAAAUCCCAGAGCUCAACUCUGGAACUGCCUUUGAUACUGGCAAGCUAGAGUCCGGAAGAGGUAAGUGGAACUCCUAGU